GAUAUUUUCUUCUCUAUCAUCCACUUUCUCCCCCGCUAGUUUCAUCGGAAUCUUCGUUGCUCAUCUUCCUCAAGUGCAGGGUUGGGAAGAUGGGUUUAAUGAUACAACAACCUUGCAGAAAAUAUAUGCUGAGCAUGAAAACCUUUGGACACAACCAUUCAUUCGUAAUCAUUCUUAAAAUUGGUCACCAUUUAGUGACUGUAAAUCAUGAAUAUUAUCAUCGAGCGUCAGUGUUUUACCUUUUUCUUUCGGAUACCUUUCAGACUUGUCUCAAGUUGAUUCUCCAGAUUUGUGAGAUCUUUGACAUUCAGUCCAGAAAGUUCUUCCCCCAAAAGCUGCCUACACUUGCAAGAAACAUAAAUAUAUGAGAUCUUGGGUUGCACAAGUUAGAUGAAGGAUCGGAGAAACAGCUUGACAAAUAGGAUGAAGAUUUGAAUGCAAUGUCUCCUGGCUUUGCCAGUUGAACCUGCAGAAUGCAGUCAAGACCUAUUGCAUGAGAAACAGCAUCUUGUCAAUAGGAAAUUGGUUCAUAACCAAAACCAUUACUUGAUAAGAGCUAACAUGAUAACAUUGGGGUGUAUUCAUGUUUGCACCUUGCCACUGCUUGAAGUUGGAUUGGAGCAUCGAAAGAAAGAAUCACAAUGAAUGCAUUGAGGAAUCUUAUUGCCAAGCAUCUAGUGACUAAAAGGUUACAAUUCUCUAGCCCCCUUCCACUUUCAGCUUGGGAUUGAGAUCAAAGUUACUUGGGGAUGCUGUGGCGGACUAAGGGAGCCUUGAGUUCGGGUUUGAUAGUUCCUUGAGAUUAGUGUCAAAGUCCGUCUGGGAAGAAAGCAGUAGCCUACCUGAGCAUCUAACAAGACUUUUGAUCUUCCACUAGGAGCAAGUUGUUGGCACCUCAUCUCAUUCCUCUGCAAAUGCAAAUAAGAGAGGACAUUAGCCGAUACUUUGCUGCCUAAAGCAAAGAAAAACUUUAUUUACCUUGAUGGGGUACGCUUCUUCAGAGUGAGGUGCUGUUUCUAGCAUUUUGAAUGUACCCGGUUGGGAAUCUAGGCAAGUGGACACCAUAACCUUGGGGCCAAGAUGCAGUUGCUGGAAAGUGAGCCGAGACUUUUGUUGGUUACACGAUGUCCUGCCAUGUUUGCUUCGAAAGAUCAUUGGGUAGCAAACCAAGCUGGAGUCUCCAAACUCUAAUUACUGAUUCAUAAUAAGCUUAACUCUAACAUGAUUCUUUUCUCGCUCUUUUCCUAACUUGUGGUUCAGAAUCUGCAGGCAUGUUUGAACUUUAUUCAAUUUGAUCCAUCUUACCCAGAACAGAAGCGAGUCUAUGAAGCUAUGCUUCUUUAAUGUGGUCAAUGCAGCAACUAAUCUAGCAGAAGAUAGUUUUCUUUCAUAGAAGGAUUUUCGUGAAGGUUUCUUUCCAAUAUCAUCUAUGCUGUUACUUGGUCUGUGUUUGUAAUGGAGUUUAAUAAUUGGAUGGCUUGGAUUUCAUCCGUCCUGAAGGCCAAUCUAACAGUCUAAGAACCAACUUGGUGCCUCUUAUAGUCUUAUUGGAUCAACCAAGAAGCAGAUGGUGGCUUUGAAUUUUUGAUACUGUUACUCUCAUGGCAGAUGAUUGAUCCUUUAGUGGAUGAAGAAGAUGAUGGUGGUUUAGAUUCAGUGGAAAGAUCAGAUGUUUAAUAGCUCCCAAAUCAUACAAGAAAUGGUAAACUACAUUGGGAAGAAUAUGUGUGACGAACUCAAGGAGAAUCAUAUUUCACCAACUCAACUACCUCUUUUGCAAUAUUUAUAAUUGAAUUUUGAUCAAAUUGAUUCUUGUACUUUUGAAAUUAAUAAAAAUGAUAAUUAUAUAUUAUUAAAAAAGAAUAAUGUGGUGGUCCUCCAA